rnacentral:rRNA from 1 species
UACGUAUGGUGCAAGCGUUAUCCGGAUUUACUGGGUGUAAAGGGAGCGCAGGCGACGCGGCAAGUCCGAUGUGAAAACCCCCGGCUCAACCGGGGGACUGCAUUGGAAACUACCGGGCUGGAGUGCCGGAGAGGUAGGCGGAAUUCCUGGUGUAGCGGUGAAAUGCGUAGAUAUCAGGAGGAACACCAGUGGCGAAGGCGGCCUACUGGACGGUGACUGACGCUGAGGCUCGAAAGCGUGGGGAGCAAACAGG